CACGUGGAGAAGGCGCCCCUUUUGCUGCUCUCUCGCCCGCUUUUGGUUUUUUUCCAAGCUACGCUGAGUAUGAAGUGGUCGACAGCUGCAACGUCUGGGUGGCUCGGGGAUCAGACUCCCUUAGUAGAAAGCGAUAUUCGAGCUUAUGGACAACCCUCAGUCUUCAUGCAGUUCCUUAAAGUACAACUGGACAAGAAGGCUUAGCUACAACUAGAAACUAUUCCAAUGAAUGCAUGCAAUGUGAUGUCUGCAACUUCCCCCUCAUUCUUCUACAGAACUACUAAAGGAAGAACUCAAUUCAAAUGAAGGCUAAUACCUGCUGAAGAAUUGGCAGCUGAGAUUUCACAUUACUGCAUUUCACAAUAAAGUUUUGUUUAAAA